AGGAGUUUGUCAGGUAAUUCGAAUGUGG
rnacentral:piRNA from 1 species